UAGAUCCGUAACCUCGGGAAAAGGAUUGGCUCUGAGGAUUGGGCCUAGGGGUCUCUAGGGCGACGGAAUGGUGGCCUACGGUGGACUGCGCGGACCGGUUAAACGGACUGCGCGGACUGCCGGUCGGGCUGCUCUCCUUAGACUUAGAGGACGUGCCUUAAAAACACUUUCCCUAGCGCGUGGAACAAUCAGCUCAGAACUGGAGCGGACAAGGGGAAUCCGACUGUUUAAUUAAAACUAAGCAUUGUGAAGGCGGGGGACCGUGUUGAC
rnacentral:rRNA from 1 species